GUUCUUCAUUCAGACUCUUUCCCUCAGAGAUGAUUGACCAGAUGUUUGAUCUUCACCAGAUUAAUCUCUUCAUUUAAAAAACUUCUGCAGAUCAAAAACCAUACGAAUGGUUUAAAAACAAAUAACGGAAAUGAGGAUGAAGAAAGAAGAGAAGAAUGGACACCACAAAUAAACCUGGAUUAAUAACGAAUCAAAAAAACUGAAAUUUGCCACCUGAUGUGUUCUUAGAAAUGUUUUCCUUCAGCUUAGACCCUUUAUUAAUGAAUGAACCGCCAACUUACACAGCGGAUAAUCAUGUGUAUAAAAAAGAAAAUCAAACACGGAGAGUACAAAAAAAACUCUUUUGUACGAGGAACUACUUUCUUCCACCAUUCAUGCACAUCUGCAGCUGACCGU
rnacentral:lncRNA from 1 species